GUCCCGAGCGUUGUUCGGAUUCAUUGGGCGUAAAGGGUGCGUAGGCGGUGGGGUAAGUUGGAUGUGAAAUCUUGGGGCUUAACCUCAAAAUUGCAUUCAAUACUGCUCCGCUAGAGCUCUGUAGAGGAGAUUGGAAUUUACGGUGUAGCAGUGAAAUGCGUAGAUAUCGUAAGGAACGCCAGUGGCGAAAGCGAAUCUCUGGGCAGCAACUGACGCUGAGGCACGAAGGCCAGGGGAGCAAACGGG
rnacentral:rRNA from 1 species